rnacentral:rRNA from 1 species
AGUGAACGCUGGCGGUAGGCCUAACACAUGCAAGUCGAACGGCAGCACAGUAAGAGCUUGCUCUUACGGGUGGCGAGUGGCGGACGGGUGAGGAAUACAUCGGAAUCUACUUUUUCGUGGGGGAUAACGUAGGGAAACUUACGCUAAUACCGCAUACGACCUACGGGCGAAAGCAGGGGAUCUUCGGACCUUGCGCGAGUGAAUGAGCCGAUGUCGGAUUAGCGAGUUGGCGGGGUAAAGGCCCACCAAGGCGACGAUCCGUAGCUGGUCUGAGAGGAUGAUCAGCCACACUGGAACUGAGACACGGUCCAGACUCCUACGGGAGGCAGCAGUGGGGAAUAUUGGACAAUGGGCGCAAGCCUGAUCCAGCCAUACCGCGUGGGUGAAGAAGGCCUUCGGGUUGUAAAGCCCUUUUGUUGGGAAAGAAAAGCAGCAGGUUAAUACCCCGCUGUUCUGACGGUACCCAAAGAAUAAGCACCGGCUAACUUCGUG